GUGGCCAUUACUGACAAGUUUUACUGUAAUUGGUUUGGGGAAUUUUUAAACUGGCCGUUAGUACAGGUGGCCGGUGUUUGCAGGGGGCCGGUAACACAGGUUUUACUGUAGUUUAAAUCGAAAAGAUUAAAUCUUAAUUCAAAAUUGUAUAUACAAUUAUUACAAUUAUAAACUAUAGUUUAAUAUCCAAAACAUGUUUUUGAUUUUAUGUAAUGUAAUGAAAAUCUUAUUUGUAAAUUAUUGGUUACAUAUAUAAUGUUUAACAAUAGGAAAUAUUCAAGAAUAAAUAAAAUAAAAGUUUAAUCCUAACAACACAAAACAUUCCAGGAAUGUAGGUACUACCGUUCUAUUCCGUGAACAUCUAUCUGAUUAAAUUAUGGGUGGAAAGUUACCACAAGAUAUAAAUGUCUUCCUGGAGGGGUAAAAUUUUCCAUUACAAGAUUUUAAGAGAGGCCAUUUACUGUUCAAUUUGCGUUCAUUUUCAAAUUUGCCGCGCGAAUAUCUAUGUAGCGUCGUGUGGUCAUUGGUCAUCACAUUUCAUAUAUUUCAUUUUCGUUAUAACCGAUAACCUAAAAAUUUAGUAAAAAUUUUGAUUGGAAAAAAAUGCAUCGAUAAGGGGGUGUGGGAAAUGGAAGAAAUUAGUGGCUUUUUUGCUGUACUGUCUACUAGUUUUUGCUCUGGGCUCUGGCUGGAUCUCUUGUUUAAACAAUUUUAAUCAGCUGAAAGUGGUCUACAAAAAAAACCAAGAAGGAAAUGUAUAGCCUUGUGGCUAUGAAAGGCAAAAGAGAGAUAUAAAAAGUGUAUUGGCUAGUUGGAAGAAAGUCCACAUUGUCCAUGCAUAAUAAGUUAUUACUUUAUCAACAAAUAUCAAGAAGAUAGCAGGAAGUCACGAGCAACACGAGCAAUUGAACAACUUCAUAAGUUCAAGAAUAUUGAGGAAAUCCAGCUUCUCGAUACUACUGGGCAAACUAGAAGAUUGAAGAGGACAAAGCCUUUUGAACUAGUUUGAGUGAUAGGUGAUAGUGAAAAACGGAGCAUAGUGCUUGUGUGCUGUGCCUGUGUAUGUUAGAAUAGUGCACGAUCUUGUUAGAUUAGAUAAGAGACGCUAUGGGGUAAGCUCUUCAUUUUAAGAAACAGUAGUAAUUUAGGUUAAAUUAAAAUUGCUCAUUGGUCAGUUAUGACCAGAUUGUUUUUUUAUGUUUGGCAAAAAGGACUUAAGUCAGAAUUGCACAUUGAUAAUGUUUUGAUGAUUUCUGGACCAGAAAAAAACUGUUGUAGAUGUAAACUGUAUGUACAGUAGAAUCUACUACAGUACUGUAGAAAUCAUCAAAACAUUAUCAAUGUGCAAUUCUGACUUAAGCCCUUUUUCCCAAACAUCAGAGAAUUGUAAUGUACAAUAAUUCUCCUAUCUGCUUUUUCAUGAAUUUUGUAGGAGACGAAAAACCAUUUUUAGGAUCAUCUGCUUUCACAUGUAAAUUUUGACAUGUUUUGUAGUAAAUAGAUACUUAGUUGAAUUUACUACAAAACAUGUCAAAAAAUAUAUGAAAACAGGAGGUGACUAUAAAAAAAGUUUUUAGUCUCUCUUACAAGACUCAUGAAAAAACAAAUCGGAGGUAUGUCACAUCUGUGACUAUAUCCAGGGAAUGUCUAAAAAAUAUACUUUGAUGUCCCAAGAACCAAAUAUAACCUACAGUCCAUCUAAUUUACUUACUGUUGCACGUCAUUAUCUACGCCAGAGAUCUAAGUUGACAUAGUUGCCAAAGUAUAAAAAGAUCCUGAACCCAUUUUAAAUAAAAUAUAUCACAUAAUUAUUGUAAACGUGGAUUAUACAACAAAACAAAUUAAUAUUCAAUGUAAAUAAGUAAAAACUUAAGAAAUAGAGAACAAGAAUUAAGUUAUAAUCUUUUAAGAUUUGCAGUGCAAGCCUUUUUGCACUACAUUGUUAAUAAUUAAAAAACGGCUCCGAACUCUUGGCAAAAAGCCGGUAGGUUUCUUUGUAUAAGUAUGUCUACAAUAACAACUAAAAAAGUUGUCAGAUACCUCGAUGAUUAUUCCAAGUCGUUAUAAAAUUAGGUGAAAUUUAUAUUUUUAUAGUAGAGGAUCUUUUUAUAGUAAAGUAAAUAAUAAAGACAGUAAAUAUAAUAAAUAAAACAGAUACUUAUAGUAAAGAAUAUAAACAAAUAUGAAGUGUCAUCACCACAACUGGCAAAUAAAUGUUACCAAUUUAUUCUAAAAUGUCACCUUCGUUCGAUUACAGUUACAGUGUGAUCCGAACAAAUCUGCUUCAUAAAAACGCUUUAUAAUCCAUUUAUACAAAUUAAAUGAAACAUAUUAUUGUGUAUUUCUUUAGGUUAACAUUAAUAGAAAUCUUCAAAUAUUAUUUCUACGCGUAUAUAAUAAAAUAUGUCUAGAGUCUGUAUUUCCAGUGUACUCAGCAAAGUGAUUCUAAAAAAGAACACACCUACCGCCUAAAUAUUUCUUGUUGGUAUCAUGAGACCUCACAGACUACGACGCGGAUGACGCACAACAGUUAGUAAAUUAGACAAAGUAUGUAGAUAUAUACAGGGUGUAACAAAAAUACAGGUCAUAAAUUUAAUCACAUAUUCUGGGACCAAAAAUAGUUUGAUUGGACCUAACUUACCUUAGUACAAAUGUACACACAAGAAAAGUUGCAGCCCUUUGGCUGCAACUAUCUUACGAAAAAACUAUAGUAAAAUUUGGACACCCCAUAAAAAUUUUAUGGGGGUUUUGUUCCUUUAAACCCCCCCAAACUUUUGUGCACGUUUCAAUUUAAUUAUUAUUGUAGUACCAUUUAAACACAACGUUUUAAAAACUUUUUUGCCUCUUAUUGCUUUUUCGAAAAGUCAAUUUUUAUCGAAAUAUUUUGAACAUUUGUCAAAUCCACCACAUAUUUGUAUAUGGUUAAGUACGAUUAUGGAGACUUGGUAAUAAUAUGCAGACUUAUUUAUGCUUUACAUUUUUAGGUAUAUUUUGAACCAUAUUAAAAAAGAAGCCAGAUCUCGAUAAAAUGUGCCUUAUCGAAAAAAUACAAAGAGGCAAAAAAGUUUUAAAAACAUUCUGUUUAACUAAUGGUACCUCAGUAAUAGUUUAAUUGGAACGUACACAAACAUUUGGGGGGUUUAAAGGAACAAAACCCCCAUAAAAUUUUUAUGUAGAUAUGUUAAAAAAGAAGUCGCAACUCGAUAAAAACUUCCUUAUCUGAAAAAUACUAAGAAACAAAAAUAUUGAAUUUAACUAAUGGUAACUACCACAAUAAUAAAAUUGAAUUGGAACGUACACAAAAGUUUGGGAGGAUCUAAGGGAUCAAAACCCCCAUAAAAUUUUUAUGGGGUGCACAAAUUUCACCAUAAUUUUUGUUUAAGAUAUUCCUGCCAUAAUACUGCUACAUGUCCAUUUUCAAUAAAAAAUCGCUAAUAGUUUUCGAUGUAAUCGAAAAAAUCGAUUUUCAUUUUGUAAUUUCAAAGGGCUGUAACUUUUUUUAUGUGCAUAUUUGUACUAAGGUAAGUUAGGUUCAUUCGAACUAUUUUUGGUCCCAGAAUAUGUGAUUUAAUUUAUGACCUGUAUUUUUGUUACACCCUGUAUAUACAGCCGAUUACGCACCACCUUAAAAUUUGGGCAUUUUUGAUGUCUCGAAUUUCCUAAACCUGUUGUUGCAUCUAAGUGAUUUUUUUAUAAUAUUCUAGCCUAGGCCCUAGGCUAUAGGUUAAGUACCUCCUUAUGCUUGUCAUGCACGGGGAGCUAUACUGUAAUAUAUAUUAUAUCACAUCGCUCUCUAUAGUAAUGAGUGAGCCUGUACAUACGGAACCAUUUGUUUAAGGUUUAAUACCCCAUAUUUAAGGUGGUGCGUUAAUUUCUUGGAGAAGUGUAUUGUAAUUUAAUGUAAAUAAUGUAAUAUCCAAUAAUUGUAAUUUAAUAUAAGAUGUAAUAUAAGUUCCUUAAAAAAUAUAUUUUUUAUUUCCCACGACAUUAGAUGGAUGUUCGGCAGCAAGACAUUGGACCAAACUGGGACGUCCUAUGAAGGCCCAAUUGACAUCCACUGAACGUCCCUUCAGAUGUUAAGUGGACCUCCAUUGGACGUUUGGCAACGUGGCAUUUGGACCAAAAUUGGACGUCCUGUUAAUGUCCAAUUCACGUCCCCUAGGACGUCCGGUUAAGGUCCAAUUUACUUCCGAUUAAGGUCCAAUUUACGUCCGAUUAAGGUUCCAUUUACGUCCGAUUAAGGUCCAAUUUACGUCCUAUUAAGGUCCAAUUUACGUCCGAUUAAGGUUCAAUUUACGUCCGAUUAAGGUCCAAUUUAUGUCCUAUUAAGGUCCAAUUUACGUCUGAUUAAGGUCCAAUUUACGUCCGAUUAAGGUCCAAUUUACGUCCCCUAGGACGUCCGAUCAAGGUCCAAAUUACGUCCGAUUAAGGUCCAAUAUACGUCCCCUCGGACCUUAGAUGGACGUCCAAUGGACGUUCGGUAGCGCGACAUUUGGAACAAAAUAGGACGUAUAAAGGACGUUCCUCGGACGAAAACGGACGUCCAAUGGACGUCCCUAAAGUCCGUGAAGGACGUCCAAUGGACGUCCAUUGGACGUCCUUGUGCUAUUAGGGACAGGGUGUC